GAUGAACGCUGGCGGCGUGCCUAAUACAUGCAAGUCGAACGAAACUUCUUUAUCACCGAGUGCUUGCACUCACCGAUAAAGAGUUGAGUGGCGAACGGGUGAGUAACACGUGGGCAACCUGCCCAAAAGAGGGGGAUAACACUUGGAAACAGGUGCUAAUACCGCAUAACCAUAGUUACCGCAUGGUAACUAUGUAAAAGGUGGCUAUACUACCGCUUUUGGAUGGGCCCGCGGCGCAUUAGCUAGUUGGUAGGGUAAAGGCUUACCAAGGCAAUGAUGCGUAGCCGAAUUGAGAGGUUGAUCGGCCACAUUGGGACUGAGACACGGCCCAAACUCCUACGGGAGGCAGCAGUAGGGAAUCCUCCACAAUGGGCGAAAGCCUGAUGGAGCAACGCCGCGUGGGUGAAGAAGGUCUUCGGAUCGUAAAACCCUGUUGUUAGAGAAGAAAGUGCGUGAGAGUAACUGUUCACGUUUCGACGGUAUCUAACCAGAAAGCCACGGCUAACUACGUG
rnacentral:rRNA from 1 species